CCUACGGGUGGCUGCAGUGGGGAAUAUUGGACAAUGGGGGCAACCCUGAUCCAGCCAUGCCGCGUGUGUGAAGAAGGCCCUCGGGUUGUAAAGCACUUUCAGUGAGGAAGAACGCCUGGUGGUUAAUACCCAUCAGGAAAGACAUCACUCACAGAAGAAGCACCGGCUAACUCCGUGCCAGCAGCCGCGGUAAUACGGAGGGUGCGAGCGUUAAUCGGAAUUACUGGGCGUAAAGCGCGCGUAGGUGGCUUGAUAAGCCGGUUGUGAAAGCCCCGGGCUCAACCUGGGAACGGCAUCCGGAACUGUCAAGCUAGAGUGCAGGAGAGGAAGGUAGAAUUCCCGGUGUAGCGGUGCAAUGCGUAGAGAUCGGGAGGAAUACCAGUGGCGAAGGCGGCCUUCUGGACUGACACUGACACUGAGGUGCGAAAGCGUGGGUAGCAAACAGGAUUAGAUACCCGAGUAGUC
rnacentral:rRNA from 1 species